rnacentral:tRNA from 1 species
UCCCUGAUGGUCCAGUGGCUGGGACUUAACACUCCCAAUGCAAGGGGCCCAGGUUCCAUUCCUGGUCGGGGAU